AGAAAGAAUUGCAGAGAUGCAAGCUGAACUGCAGAGAAAAGAGACCGCCUUACAAAAGCAGAAGGCAAUUUACAAGAAAAAGGCUCAGGACAACUGGCUCAGGGCUCGUGUUGGGAUGAGGGCAGAAGUCAAACAAAUCAGCGAGACCAACUUCUUGAAUAGAA